rnacentral:lncRNA from 1 species
GCAGUUAUCGGCUCGGGAAUAUUCGUUCUCACCGGACAGCAAGCAAGGGGUGAGUCCGGUCCAGCCGUUGUGUUGUCCUUCGUUGUAUCAGGUGUCUCCGCCAUGCUCUCCGUGUUUUGUUACACCGAGUUCGCCGUUGAGAUUCCUGUCGCAGGUAAGAGAAUUUUUAUUUUUAUUUUUUAUCAUCUGAAAAUUAUCACCAAAAUAUUCUCAAAACUAUAUGAAAACUUUUUUUGGUAAAACUAUAUGAAAACUUUCUUAUACUUUUUUUUUGUUUUGCAUCUCUGAAAAAGAUCUGUGGUUUUGUGAAUUUCUAGAAACAUAUUUCUAUUAAACUUAAGAUUUAUGUGAUUUUUUUCUAACAAAAUCAGCUAAUUAUCAUAUGUUACUGUUGUUAACUAAGAUUUUCAUCUUUAAACCAAAAAGCAUAAAUAAAUCCUAUCCAGGAAACCUCAUUUCUCGGAAAGAAAUAUAUUCUACCUGUAGUGUCAUAAUAAGAGAAUAACUAUUGGGAUUGAUUAAAUAUCAUGAUCGAGGAAAUUACGCAGACGCACAAUUUGUGACAACUUACUUCUUUGUUUAGUUAUUAAUUGUUUAGGUUUAGAAGCUUUCGAUUACUGCAUUAAAAAUAGUAUAUAUUCAGUUACGGCGAGAUGGGUUCUCCGGGGUCAACUAGUUGACUUCUGAGAGUGAGUCGUUCACACUUCACGCAAUAUCUGUUCGUUCACACACAUCUGUUAGCUAAUUAAUUGGCACAACGACAUGUUGUUUGGCAUUUACAAUUAAAUAACUGAUUAUUAUUUUAAGCUUUAUAGUUACUUGUUGUUUGGCAUGUAUAGACUGUUUGGUGGUUGACCCCAAAAAGAUUGCUCUCUUUUGGUUAAGUCAUUUAAAGAAAAGCUAAUAACGAACUGUGUCAAUUACCUACGCAACCAUAUAAUAAGUCAAAUUUGUACAACUUUACGACUUUACGUUACGGACUUGAACCCCCAAAAAUGUAGUUUUACGACCUUUUGAAAAUAAUAUAUUUGGUUUUAGUUAGAAAUAGAUAUUUAUUUUGAAAAAUCGUUGAGAAAUCCCACUAGCUAGAUACAAUAGUUUGGUUCCACAAACUACAUUAUAAUAUUAUAUUUUUCUUUCAACCACACAUAUAUUCAAACACUAGAUAAUAUUCAGUAUUCGGUUUGAAAAAGCAAAUACUUGAACACUAUCACAAGUAACAAGCAACAUAAUUGAAGUAAUUUCAAGUAAGCAUACAUUAAUUAAAAAUUUUAACAUUUGCA